CAGCUAUUUCCAAAGAGAGGAUCUUGGAACUCAACUGGACCAAGCCUUUGUAUGGAUGGGGAAACUAAGGCCUCAGCACCCUGGUUUGCAAUGAGAGAACAAAGGCAGAAGAACUCAGAAGGUGAAGCCAUGAAGAGAAGGGUUGGAGGUGCUCAAAGGCCGAGGAGGGGGACAUGGGUGAGAGACAAAAGCCUUUCAAGAAAAGAAGAAAGAAUACAACACUUAAUGUGCAAAUCUAUUGUGCACAAUCCUUCAUGAUUUCCG